UCCGAUUGNGAAGGCAGCUUGCUGGACUGUAACUGACGCUGAGGCACGAAAGCGUGGGGAUCAAACAGGAUUAGAUACCNNGGUANNCCACGCCGUAAACGAUGANUGCUAGCUGUUAGCGAUAUACUGUUAGCGGCACAGAGAAAUCGUUAAGCAUUCCACCUGGGGAGUACGCCGGCAACGGUGAAACUCAAAGGAAUUGACGGGGGCCCGCACAAGCGGAGGAACAUGUGGUUUAAUUCGAUGAUACGCGAGGAACCUUACCUGGGCUUAAAUUGCAGUGGAAUAACGUGGAAACAUGUUAGCCUUCGGGCCGCUGUGAAGGUGCUGCAUGGUUGUCGUCAGCUCGUGCCGUGAGGUGUCGGCUUAAGUGCCAUAACGAGCGCAACCCUCAUCGAUAGUUACUAACAGGUUAAGCUGAGGACUCUAUCGAGACUGCCGACGUAAGUCGUGAGGAAGGUGGGGAUGACGUCAAAUCAGCACGGCCCUUACGUCCAGGGCUACACACGUGUUACAAUGGGGGGUACAAAGGGCAGCUACCUGGCGACAGGAUGCUAAUCUCAAAAACCUCUCUCAGUUCGGAUUGGAGUCUGCAACCCGACUCCAUGAAGCUGGAUUCGCUAGUAAUCGCGCAUCAGCCACGGCGCGGUGAAUACGUUCCCGGGCCUUGUACACACCGCCCGUCAAGCCAUGGGAGCCGGGGGGACCUGAAGUAUGCAACCGUAAGGAGCGUCCUAGGGUAAAACUGGUGACUGGGGCU
rnacentral:rRNA from 1 species